rnacentral:rRNA from 1 species
UGCAGUCGAGCGGAUGACGGGAGCUUGCUCCCGGAUUCAGCGGCGGACGGGUGAGUAAUGCCUAGGAAUCUGCCUGGUAGUGGGGGACAACGUUUCGAAAGGAACGCUAAUACCGCAUACGUCCUACGGGAGAAAGCAGGGGACCUUCGGGCCUUGCGCUAUCAGAUGAGCCUAGGUCGGAUUAGCUAGUUGGUGAGGUAAUGGCUCACCAAGGCGACGAUCCGUAACUGGUCUGAGAGGAUGAUCAGUCACACUGGAACUGAGACACGGUCCAGACUCCUACGGGAGGCAGCAGUGGGGAAUAUUGGACAAUGGGCGAAAGCCUGAUCCAGCCAUGCCGCGUGUGUGAAGAAGGUCUUCGGAUUGUAAAGCACUUUAAGUUGGGAGGAAGGGUUGUAGAUUAAUACUCUGCAAUUUUGACGUUACCGACAGAAUAAGCACCGGCUAACUCUGUGCCAGCAGCCGCGGUAAUACAGAGGGUGCAAGCGUUAAUCGGAAUUACUGGGCGUAAAGCGCGCGUAGGUGGUUUGUUAAGUUGGAUGUGAAAGCCCCGGGCUCAACCUGGGAACUGCAUCCAAAACUGGCAGGCUAGAGUACGGUAGAGGGUGGUGGAAUUUCCUGUGUAGCGGUGAAAUGCGUAGAUAUAGGAAGGAACACCAGUGGCGAAGGCGACCACCUGGACUGAUACUGACACUGAGGUGCCACAGCGUGGGGAGCAAACAAG